AUACAUAACAUUAGCAAGAGGUACAAAACUCCUCAUGCUUGGUGGCUAUACUUAUUGUGUCAAAGGCCAUUGCGCGACAGCGGUACCAGAUACGCCUGUUCAAGUUACUGGAGCAAGCAAUGUAAAGCGUUUGUUCAUGUCAACAAAGAUGACGUCAUACUCCGGGUGAACACUGAUCAUAACCACGCGCCAAUCAAAUUUGUCAAGACAAGUUCGGGGCGUUAUAUUAAAUUGGCGUGUUAAAAUAUUUAAGCAUCAUACAUAACAUCGAAGCGUGGUACAAAAAUCCUCCUCAUCAACAACUUUUCGUACUGCAUCAACGGGCAAACGAGCCGCUCCACUCGAUACAUAUGCUCGAGCUAUUGGAGCAAGCGUUGCAAGGCUUUCGCUUACGUCAGCAAGAAUGACGUCAUUCUCAAGACGAGCGAGGAGCACAAUCAUCCGCCCAUAAAAUACAUAAAGACGAAAUCCGGUUACGUUAAAUUUUAGGUAGUUUUUUAUAUCAAAGAUUAUCUAUUAAUUUUGGAUAUAAGUUGUGUCAUUCACGGAAACGAAUGCUAGAAAAUGGAACGACCUCUUCUCCAAAUAUAAUUAUGAUUGUUUAUCACCUUGACCUAUGACUCUACGUUUGACUUUGUUGAUUAUGUUAAAAAU